rnacentral:rRNA from 1 species
UAGGGAAUCUUCCGCAAUGGGCGAAAGCCUGACGGAGCAACGCCGCGUGAGUGAUGAAGGUCUUCGGAUCGUAAAACUCUGUUAUUAGGGAAGAACAAAUGUGUAAGUAACUAUGCACGUCUUGACGGUACCUAAUCAGAAAGCCACGGCUAACUACGUGCCAGCAGCCGCGGUAAUACGUAGGUGGCAAGCGUUAUCCGGAAUUAUUGGGCGUAAAGCGCGCGUAGGCGGUUUUUUAAGUCUGAUGUGAAAGCCAACGGCUCAACCGUGGAGGGUCAUUGGAAACUGGAAAACUUGAGUGCAGAAGAGGAAAGUGGAAUUCCAUGUGUAGCGGUGAAAUGCGCAGAGAUAUGGAGGAACACCAGUGGCGAAGGCGACUUUCUGGUCUGUAACUGACGCUGAUGUGCGAAAGCGUGGGGAUCAAACAGG